rnacentral:rRNA from 1 species
UACGUAGGAGGCGAGCGUUGUCCGGAUUCAUUGGGCGUAAAGAGCAUGCAGGCGGUUUGGCAAGUCGGAUGUGAAAACCCGGAGCUCAACUCCGGACCUGCAUCCGAAACUGCCCGACUAGAGGUAGGUAGGGGAGAUCGGAAUUCCUGGUGUAGCGGUGAAAUGCGCAGAUAUCAGGAGGAACACCGGUGGCGAAGGCGGAUCUCUGGGCCUUACCUGACGCUCAGGUGCGAAAGCUAGGGGAGCGAACAGG